rnacentral:lncRNA from 1 species
GAAGAAAGACUAUUUUGUUUCUGAUUGCAGGGGUCCUUGGGGCAUAUUAUGUUUAUACUCCUCUCUCAGAUAAUAUUGAGGAACUCUGGUGACUGGUGUGGAUAGCUACACCUGUGAAAAUGGUAACAAAUUUGCUUUGUUUAAUUAUGACUUUCUGUCAAGAUGAACAGCUGAUAGACUUAAUGCUGUUGUUGUAUCAACC